GCACUGCUGAGGAGUCCCACAAUGGGACGAAACGGCCGUUCAGUGC
rfam:Schistosoma curassoni strain Dakar, Senegal genome assembly, scaffold: SCTD_contig0001470